CAUUAGAUGACUGAAAGUAAGUGUAGGUCUUUUAAACCUAUUAUAGCACGGACGCCCGCUUCUAAUGA
rnacentral:tRNA from 1 species